UAGGGAAUCUUCGGCAAUGGGGGCAACCCUGACCGAGCAACGCCGCGUGAGUGAAGAAGGUUUUCGGAUCGUAAAGCUCUGUUGUAAGAGAAGAACGUGUGUGAGAGUGGAAAGUUCACACAGUGACGGUAACUUACCAGAAAGGGACGGCUAACUACGUGCCAGCAGCCGCGGUAAUACGUAGGUCCCGAGCGUUGUCCGGAUUUAUUGGGAGUAAAGCGAGCGCAGGCGGUUUAAUAAGUCUGAAGUUAAAGGCAGUGGCUUAACCAUUGUUCGCUUUGGAAACUGUGAAACUUUGGUGCAGACGGGGAGAGUGAAAUUCCAUGUGUAUCGGUGAAAUGCGUAGAUAUAUGGAGGAACACCGGUAGCGAAAGCGGCUCUCUGGUCUGUACCUGACGCUGAGGCUCGAAAGCGUGGGGAGCAAACAGG
rnacentral:rRNA from 1 species